rnacentral:rRNA from 1 species
AUUGAACGCUGGCGGCAUGCCUAACACAUGCAAGUCGAGCGGAUGAAGGGAGCUUGCUCCUGGAUUCAGCGGCGGACGGGUGAGUAAUGCCUAGGAAUCUGCCUGGUAGUGGGGGAUAACGUCCGGAAACGGGCGCUAAUACCGCAUACGUCCUGAGGGAGAAAGUGGGGGAUCUUCGGACCUCACGCUAUCAGAUGAGCCUAGGUCGGAUUAGCUAGUUGGUGGGGUAAAGGCCUACCAAGGCGACGAUCCGUAACUGGUCUGAGAGGAUGAUCAGUCACACUGGAACUGAGACACGGUCCAGACUCCUACGGGAGGCAGCAGUGGGGAAUAUUGGACAAUGGGCGAAAGCCUGAUCCAGCCAUGCCGCGUGUGUGAAGAAGGUCUUCGGAUUGUAAAGCACUUUAAGUUGGGAGGAAGGGCAGUAAGAUAAUACCUUGCUGUUUUGACGUUACCAACAGAAUAAGCACCGGCUAACUUCGUG